UUGCUUCAGCAGCACAUACACUAAAACUGGAAUGAUACAGAGAUUAGCAUGGCCCCUGCACAAGGAUGAUAUACAAAUUUGUGAAGCAUUCCAUAUGUUU
rnacentral:snRNA from 1 species